rnacentral:rRNA from 1 species
UACGUAGGGGGCAAGCGUUGUCCGGAAUCAUUGGGCGUAAAGAGCGCGUAGGCGGCCCUGUAAGUCCGCUGUGAAAGUCAAGGGCUCAACCCCUUGGAUGCCGGUGGAUACUGCAGGGCUAGAGUUCGGAAGAGGCGAGUGGAAUUCCUGGUGUAGCGGUGAAAUGCGCAGAUAUCAGGAGGAACACCGAUGGCGAAGGCAGCUCGCUGGGACGAUACUGACGCUGAGGCGCGAAAGCGUGGGAGCAAACAGG